rnacentral:rRNA from 1 species
UACGGGGGGAGCAAGCGUUGUUCGGAUUUACUGGGCGUAAAGGGCGCGUAGGCGGCGCAACAAGUCACUUGUGAAAUCUCCGGGCUUAACUCGGAAAGGUCAAGUGAUACUGUCGGGCUAGAGUACAGAAGGGGCAACUGGAAUUCUCGGUGUAGCGGUGAAAUGCGUAGAUAUCGAGAGGGACGCCUGCGGCGAAGGCGGGUUGCUGGGCCGACACUGACGCUGAUGCGCGAAAGCCAGGGGAGCGAACGGG